GAUGAACGCUGGCGGCGUGCCUAAUACAUGCAAGUCGAGCGAACAGACGCGGAGCUUGCUCCUCUGACGUUAGCGGCGGACGGGUGUGUCACACGUGGAUAACCUACCUAUCAGACUGGGAUAACUUCGGGAAACCGGCGCUAAUACCGGAUAAUAUAUUGAACCGCAUGGUUCAAUAGUGAAAGACGGUUUUGCUGUCACUAAUAGAUGGAUCCGCGCCGCAUUGGCUAGUUGGUAAGGUAACGGCUUACCACGGCAACGAUGCGUAGCCGACCUGAGAGGGGGAUCGGCCACACUGGAACUGAGACGGGGUCCAGACUCCUACGGGAGGCAGCAGUAGGGAAUCUUCCGCAAUGGGCGAAAGCCUGACGGAGCAACGCCGCGUGAGUGAUGAAGGUCUUCGGAUCGUAAAACUCUGUUAUUAGGGAAGAACAAAUGUGUAAGUAACUAUGCACGUCUUGACGGUACCGAAUCAGAAAGCCACGGCUAACUACGUG
rnacentral:rRNA from 1 species